GAUGAACGCUGGCGGCGUGCCUAAUACAUGCAAGUCGAGCGAACGGACGAGAAGCUUGCUUUUCUGAUGUUAGCGGCGGACGGGUGAGUAACACGUGGAUAACCUACCUAUAAGACUGGGAUAACUUCGGGAAACCGGAGCUAAUACCGGAUAAUAUUUUGAACCGCAUGGUUCAAAAGUGAAAGACGGUCUUGCUGUCACUUAUAGAUGGAUCCGCGCUGCAUUAGCUAGUUGGUAAGGUAACUGCUUACCAAGGCAACGAUGCAUAGCCGACCUGAGAGGGUGAUCGGCCACACUGGAACUGAGACACGGUCCAGACUCCUACGGGAGGCAGCAGUAGGGAAUCUUCCGCAAUGGGCGAAAGCCUGACGGAGCAACGCCGCGUGAGUGAUGAAGGUCUUCGGAUCGUAAAACUCUGUUAUUAGGGAAGAACAUAUGUGUAAGUAACUGUGCACAUCUUGACGGUACUUAAUCAGAAAGCCACGGCUAACUACGUG
rnacentral:rRNA from 1 species